GGUUGAUCCUCAUCAUCUGGAUCUGAAAAAUGAAGAGAAAAUAAAAAAGGUGCUGUUAGGGCAUAAACAAAAACAUACUUGCAACCUAAAGUGCGUAACAUUGAGAAAUCUGCAAGUACAAGAAGCUCCAACUAAACCAUUACACUAAUCUAACUGUAUUUGAUGGCCCUUAUGAUACCUUCCUGGAUUUUGAGACAAUAUUUCAUGGGGUUUAUUUUCUUCUUCCUUCUCGCUAUCUGUGUGAGAGGAUCACAUAGAACUGGCGGCAGGGAAACCAUGAUACCAAAUGUAAUAGGCUAACCUUCUUAGCACCUUUCUUACUUUCUAGAAUUAAUGUUCAUAAAGCCUUUCCUUCUCCCUUUCUAUGUGAGAGGCAAACAUAGCAAGGACAAUACAUUAGACUUGACAAAUAACGACACAGAAACAGCAGUGAAACCCAGCUAUCAUGACUCGUAAGGCUCAUUUACAAUUGGCAGAGAAACCCAGCUAUCAUGAAUCAUAAGGUUCAUUUACAAUUGGCAGAAUACUCUAUCUAGGAAGGAAUAGGCUCAACAAAAAAUGACAAGGGAACAGCAAUUUGGGCUUUGAGUCCAUAUGCCCCAACCAAAAGCAACAAACAAAAUUAUAUAAAGGUCCUCAACUACCAAUAUACUCCAAUCCCAUGAAAGAGCCCACCGGUAGGACAAUAGAGAAACAAAAUGGACAUAUUAACUCAAAAAUCCCCAGAUGAUAUGAAUAACGAAAAUAAAAAUUCAACAGCGGGCUCAAUGCAGAUUCUUGCCAGUACGAACAUUUUAAAAACUAAAAUAUCCAAGUGCAAAAUGCUGAGAUGAUUAGGAAAUUAGACAAGCAAGUUAAAAAAAA
rnacentral:misc_RNA from 1 species